GGUCCCGUAGCUUAACUGAAUAGAGCAUCUGACUACGGAUCAGAAGGUUGCAGGUUUGAAUCCUGCCGGGAUCACAA
rnacentral:tRNA from 4 species